CCUACGGGAGGCAGCAGUGGGGAAUAUUGGGCAAUGGGCGCAAGCCUGACCCAGCAACGCCGCGUGAAGGAAGAAGGCUUUCGGGUUGUAAACUUCUUUUGUCAGGGACGAAGCAAGUGACGGUACCUGACGAAUAAGCCACGGCUAACUACGUGCCAGCAGCCGCGGUAAUACGUAGGUGGCAAGCGUUAUCCGGAUUUACUGGGUGUAAAGGGCGUGUAGGCGGGGAAGCAAGUCAGAUGUGAAAACCACGGGCUCAACCUGUGGCCUGCAUUUGAAACUGUUGAUCUUGAGUACUGGAGAGGCAGAUGGAAUUCCUAGUGUAGCGGUGAAAUGCGUAGAUAUUAGGAGGAACACCAGUGGCGAAGGCGGUCUGCUGGACAGCAACUGACGGUGAGGCGCGAAAGCGUGGGGAGCAAACAGGAUUAGAUACCCUAGUAGUC
rnacentral:rRNA from 1 species